rnacentral:rRNA from 1 species
AACGAACGCUGGCGGCAGGCUUAACACAUGCAAGUCGAACGCCCCGCAAGGGGAGUGGCAGACGGGUGAGUAACGCGUGGGAACAUACCCUUUCCUGCGGAAUAGCUCUGGGAAACGGGAAUUACUACCGCAUACGCCCAACGGGGGAAAGAUAUAUCGGGGAAGGAUUGGCCCGCGUUGGAUUAGCUAGUUGGUGGGGUAAAGGCCUACCAAGGCGACGAUCCAUAGCUGGUCUGAGUGGAUGAUCAGCCACAUUGGGACUGAGACACGGCCCAAACUCCUACGGGAGGCGGCAGUGGGGAAUAUUGGACAAUGGGCGCAAGCCUGAUCCAGCCAUGCCGCGUGAGUGAUGAAGGCCUUAGGGUUGUAAAGCUCUUUCACCGAUGAAGAUAAUGACGGUAGUCGGAGAAGAAGCCCCGGCUAACUUCGUGCCAGCCGCCGCGGUAACAC